rnacentral:rRNA from 1 species
UUGAAGAGUUUGAUCAUGGCUCAGAUUGAACGCUGGCGGCAGGCCUAACACAUGCAAGUCGAACGGUAGCACAGAGAGCUUGCUCUCGGGUGACGAGUGGCGGACGGGUGAGUAAUGUCUGGGAAACUGCCCGAUGGAGGGGGAUAACUACUGGAAACGGUAGCUAAUACCGCAUAACGUCGCAAGACCAAAGUGGGGGACCUUCGGGCCUCACACCAUCGGAUGUGCCCAGAUGGGAUUAGCUAGUUGGUGAGGUAAUGGCUCACCAAGGCGACGAUCCCUAGCUGGUCUGAGAGGAUGACCAGCCACACUGGAACUGAGACACGGUCCAGACUCCUACGGGAGGCAGCAGUGGGGAAUAUUGCACAAUGGGCGCAAGCCUGAUGCAGCCAUGCCGCGUGUAUGAAGAAGGCCUUCGGGUUGUAAAGUACUUUCAGCGAGGAGGAAGGCAUUAAGGUUAAUAACCUUAGUGAUUGACGUUACUCGCAGAAGAAGCACCGGCUAACUCCGUGCCAGCAGCCGCGGUAAUACGGAGGGUGCAAGCGUUAAUCGGAAUUACUGGGCGUAAAGCGCACGCAGGCGGUCUGUCAAGUCGGAUGUGAAAUCCCCGGGCUCAACCUGGGAACUGCAUUCGAAACUGGCAGGCUAGAGUCUUGUAGAGGGGGGUAGAAUUCCAGUGUGUAGCGGUGAAAUGCGUAGAGAUCUGGAGGAAUACCGGUGGCGAAGGCGGCCCCCUGGACAAAGACUGACGCUCAGGUGCGAAAGCGUGGGGAGCAAACAGGAUUAGAUACCCUGGUAGUCCACGCCGUAAACGAUGUCUAUUUGGAGGUUGUUCCCUUGAGGAGUGGCUUCCGGAGCUAACGCGUUAAAUAGACCGCCUGGGGAGUACGGCCGCAAGGUUAAAACUCAAAUGAAUUGACGGGGGCCCGCACAAGCGGUGGAGCAUGUGGUUUAAUUCGAUGCAACGCGAAGAACCUUACCUACUCUUGACAUCCAGAGAACUUAGCAGAGAUGCUUUGGUGCCUUCGGGAACUCUGAGACAGGUGCUGCAUGGCUGUCGUCAGCUCGUGUUGUGAAAUGUUGGGUUAAGUCCCGCAACGAGCGCAACCCUUAUCCUUUGUUGCCAGCGGUUCGGCCGGGAACUCAAAGGAGACUGCCAGUGAUAAACUGGAGGAAGGUGGGGAUGACGUCAAGUCAUCAUGGCCCUUACGAGUAGGGCUACACACGUGCUACAAUGGCAUAUACAAAGAGAAGCGACCUCGCGAGAGCAAGCGGACCUCAUAAAGUAUGUCGUAGUCCGGAUUGGAGUCUGCAACUCGACUCCAUGAAGUCGGAAUCGCUAGUAAUCGUAGAUCAGAAUGCUACGGUGAAUACGUUCCCGGGCCUUGUACACACCGCCCGUCACACCAUGGGAGUGGGUUGCAAAAGAAGUAGGUAGCUUAACCUUCGGGAGGGCGCUUACCACUUUGUGAUUCAUGACUGGGGUGAAGUCGUAACAAGGUAACCGUAGGGGAACCUGCGGUUGGAUCACCUCCUU